UUAAUCCCCAACCUAUGUUCGUGCGCCCCUAUGCACUGUUUUGUAACCAACCUUUCUUUAAUAAACUGUUAAACUGCGACUGAUGUACAGGCACAGUACAAGGUUUUCGGUACAGGUCAGAGUACGUUUCAGAAAAGAUGGGAUUGCUAUUUUUGCUGUUCGAACUUUCUUAGGUUUCGAGACGUGAGCUCGAGGCGAUGAAGGGUCGAGCCUGAGGGACUUCCCAUUUUUCAGUGUGUGUGUCGUGGUGGCGAGGAGCGGUGGUGUAGCUUCCUUUGGCUGCUGCUGCUCCUGCUCCUCCUUUCUUUUCCCCCUUUAGUCUUUUUUAACGCUUGUCCUCGUGUCCCUCUUCCUCCUCGUUGCCUUUCCAUCGUUAUCGUUAUCAUCAUCCUCGCCCUCUCCGCUGGCUUUGUGUUCCUCACCUUACAUCUGCAGAUGGGGCUCACAUUCCUCUUCCUUUUUCUGCUGAUUCAACGCUUCUCGAUUUUAGUUUUCUUUCUCCUCGUUCUCAUCUUUUAUCUUGUCCUCCACCACUCCUCUCCACACGAACAAGGACACACACACGCCACACUGUCACUGUCGAUCCGGUGUCAUUGCAACGUCUUGUUCAGUCGUGAUGGUCCUCGUCCAGCUCCUCGCCACCUCACCACACGCCACCACCGUCCCUGUUGAUGCUGCGUCAACUUUAUUGUUACCUGUCGAACUUCAUUGCAGUCCUCGCCGUUGCAUUCCCACAUGCGUCGCUGUCAUGGCACCCUGGCACCCUACAGCCACAACUGCUGCUGCUGUCUUUUAUCCUGUAACAGCCAGGCGUGUGAGCGGUGUUGUGAUCGUCGCCUAGAGGUGUCCAUGUUCCGGGAGUCGCUGCCCUUCCAGUCCUCCUCCGCUGUCUGUCUGAGCAACCUGGGUGAAGAGCGGCGGACGCCGCGUUCCAUGUUAAUGUUUGCUGACCAGCCGUCCUCUCUUAUUUUCUCAGUCCUAGCGAGGUGAAGGAGGGACGCUUGCUUCUGCGGCAAACAGAAGCAAUCCGCGAGGACGACAGGAAGGUGCGAACGUUUGAGGUGGAUGAAAAUAAUUAAUUAAUUGCUCAAUAUGUUGCUGACGAGCAGUCUUCAACGUUCGCACCGUGUCGUCCUCGUGGGUUGCCAUCUUAAACGUUUAACCUUCACCACUUUAUCAGAAGCCGCCUCCUUUACUAGCUAGUAGGGACUGGAGAGGCAAAGAGGACGGGGCUGAUCAGCAAACUGAUGGAGAAACCAAGAGUAUGCCAUCUCGUGUCUCCAACCCAACGGGGUGGUUGUAAGCACCGAGCAGAAUCAGGGAGCCAAGACGCAAGUAUGGGGAUAGCCCGCGAAUGCCCGGCGAUGUCUUUAGUACGAAAACUCUGGGAGGGUGAAGAGGCACGUGACAUUCAGCGGGUGAGAACUCGCAUGUUGCUGGAAGACAAGUAAGUGUUGCAACUAUGGACAUCUACCACCAGAGCGGUAGCCGGCCAUUACGAAUUACCCACACCAUUUUGAGAUGAAGAACCGGAUCUGCCAAACAACAACAACGAGAUGGCGCAGAAACGCUUGAAGGGACAGACGACGCCUCGCUAGGGAUUCGGACUUCAGACGACGAUAUGCAGGAGAGAGAGAACACU